rnacentral:lncRNA from 1 species
CUCCGCCUACCGGGUUCAUACCAUUCUCCUGCCUCAGCCUCCCAAGUAGCUGGGACUACAGGUGCCCGCCACCACACCCGGCUAAAUUUUUUUGUAUUUUUAGUAGAGACGGGCUUUCACCUUGUUUGCCAGGAUGGUCUCGAUCUCCUGACCUCAUGAUCCACCCGCCUCAGCCUCCCAACGUGCUGGGAUUACAGGUGUGAGCCACCGCGCCUGUCCCUAUUGCUCACUUUUUAAGCCUGUUCCCCAGAUAGGAUUGGAGAAAUAUGCCAAUUAUCACAAAUGUUUUUACUACAUUUCUUCUUGCUUUAUGAAUUGCUGUAUUAACUGCAGUAAAGCUAUGAAAAUAUUUCCUAGAACACUCUAUUCUGCCAUACUCUUUUGUGAAUUUUUUUAAAAAUCUGGUGUUUGCUCUUUAGCAAAAUGUGACUGGAAAAUCUC